GUGCUCACUUUGGCAGCACAUAUACUAAAAAUUGGGACAAUACAGAGAAGAUUAGCAUGGUCCUUGUUCAAGGAUGACAUGCAAAUUCAUGAAGCAUUCCAUAUUUUA
rnacentral:snRNA from 1 species